AUGGUUCCUCUGACCACUUUUGAUUUAUUCCAUCUCUGGUUUCCAUGGAGCGUCAUAAAAGGAUCUAUGUGUGCGUCAAGAGAGUGGAGAAAGAGAAGUGGCCCGGAGCUAACAGGGGAAGAAGCAUCCACCUGCUCAAUAGCAGCUCUGAGGCAGAGAUGGAAGAUUGUGGAUCUGCUGGGACGAGGUUAUCUCAGAAGCCAAACCAGAAAGAAUAUCCCAACCCAGGACUCCACUAUGCGAUAGUGGAGGGAACAGAGACCUUAAAGUCAGGCAGUUUGGGGUUCAUGUCCUCGCUUUGCCACUUCUUUCCUGUGUAGCCUCAGCUGCCCUUAAAUUUACAAGGAAACAUUCCUUCUAGGAGUCUCUGGAUAUUGGACUAAGAUUGUCACACGCCAUUAACACAGUUCAAUUCUGCAACCUCACUGAUUGGAAAACCUGAUUCAAU